AUUGAACGCUGGCGGCAGGCCUAACACAUGCAAGUCGAGCGGAUGAAGGGAGCUUGCUCCUGGAUUCAGCGGCGGACGGGUGAGUAAUGCCUAGGAAUCUGCCUGGUAGUGGGGGAUAACGUCCGGAAACGGGCGGUAAUACCGCAUACGUCCUGAGGGAGAAAGAGGGGGGUCUUCGGACCUCACGCUAUCAGAUGGGCCUAGGUCGGAUUAGCUAGCUGGUGGGGGAAAGGCCUACCAAGGCGACGAUCCGUAACUGGUCUGAGAGGAUGAUCAGUCACACUGGAACUGAGACACGGUCCAGACUCCUACGGGAGGCAGCAGUGGGGAAUAUUGGACAAUGGGCGAAAGCCUGAUCCAGCCAUGCCGCGUGUGUGAAGAAGGUCUUCGGAUUGUAAAGCACUUUAAGUUGGGAGGAAGGGCAGUAAGUUAAUACCUUGCUGUUUUGACGUUACCAACAGAAUAAGCACCGGCUAACUUCGUG
rnacentral:rRNA from 1 species